CGGGUGUCGCUGAUGGAUGGACCCGCGGUGCAUUAGCUAGUUGGUGAGGUAACGGCUCACCAAGGCCACGAUGCAUAGCCGACCUGAGAGGGUGAUCGGCCACAUUGGGACUGAGACACGGCCCAAACUCCUACGGGAGGCAGCAGUAGGGAAUCUUCGGCAAUGGACGAAAGUCUGACCGAGCAACGCCGCGUGAGUGAAGAAGGUUUUCGGAUCGUAAAACUCUGUUGUUAGAGAAGAACAAGGAUGAUAGUAACUGUUCAUCCCUUGACGGUAUCUAACCAGAAAGCCACGGCUAACUACGUGCCAGCAGCCGCGGUAAUACGUAGGUGGCAAGCGUUGUCCGGAUUUAUUGGGCGUAAAGCGAGCGCAGGCGGUUUCUUAAGUCUGAUGUGAAAGCCCCCGGCUCAACCGGGGAGGGUCAUUGGAAACUGGGAGACUUGAGUGCAGAAGAGGAGAGUGGAAUUCCAUGUGUAGCGGUGAAAUGCGUAGAUAUAUGGAGGAACACCAGUGGCGAAGGCGGCUCUCUGGUCUGUAACUGACGCUGAGGCUCGAAAGCGUGGGGAGCAAACAGGAUUAGAUACCCUGGUAGUCCACGCCGUAAACGAUGAGUGCUAAGUGUU
rnacentral:rRNA from 1 species